UCCGGCCAUAUCACGUUGAAACACCGGUUCUCGUACGAUCACCAUAGGUAAACAACGUCGAACUUGAUCAAUACCUAAAUAGGUGACUGCGUGGAAAUACCAGGUGCUGUAA